UGUUGUAUUGAAUCUCUUAGUUUUCUUCUUGUGUCCACUACGUAGUAGCAUCUCUAAACAAACCUGUUAUUGUUUUGUUUCUUUUGUUUUUGUUUCUCUUCCCUAUUAUUAUUGUUGUCGUUCUUGUGGAGAUGUAAAAUAAAGAUCGUACAUGGAAGUAUAAUAGACUUUAUCCUAAUCGUGUGGGGUUGAGGGAGGAAUAUAAA
rnacentral:lncRNA from 1 species